GACGUAGGAGGCGAGCGUUGUCCGGAUUUACUGGGCGUAAAGGGAGCGCAGGCGGACUUUUAAGUGAGAUGUGAAAUACCCGGGCUCAACUUGGGUGCUGCAUUUCAAACUGGAAGUCUAGAGUGCAGGAGAGGAGAAUGGAAUUCCUAGUGUAGCGGUGAAAUGCGUAGAGAUUAGGAAGAACACCAGUGGCGAAGGCGAUUCUCUGGACUGUAACUGACGCUGAGGCUCGAAAGCGUGGGGAGCAAACAGGAUUAGAUA
rnacentral:rRNA from 1 species